AGCACGGACUUUUUAUCGCGUCGUGUGAUUUGAAGUUGAAUGUAAAAGAAAGGUGAAGAGUCUGAAUAGUGAAAAAAAGUGCAGUUGAUGAUAAAUAAGGUGCAUCAGUCACGACAAUGGCACAGUCGGUAGUCGUAUAUUUCGGCGUUAUGCAAUGUCAUACCACCUCCAAGCAAGGCAACAAAAGUUAAGGUGGAGAUCGAAAAACCCAACAAAAAGCGUAAACAUACAACCGAAUCAGCUAAUGGUACAGCAGCUCAAAAGCAAUGGAGACCUCCUAUCGGAUGAAGACAUGGACAAAUCUAUUCACGAUAUAAUAAAAGGGAUUAAAAAACGACCGGCGAGGACGAGUAUGACCUGCUUUUGUAUUCCUUCAAAAAGCAAUCGAAUUAUAACUAAAUUUUAUGGACCGGUUUGUGCAAGUUUUUUUUAGCGAAGGUGUUAUAAUUUUGGUUGUUUGAUUUGGUUGCCAAGCAUCAUUCAGCUAAGCCAAGCUAUUAAGUAUGCUUGUAACUUAUUGUCAAAGCCCUUUUCGAAAGCAUUGAGUACCAGUGAAAAGGUCACAUAAAGGGAACAACCGGAAGAUUUCACCGGAAUAGGAUGGAUUUUAAUUGGUAGAGGACCGACUGGGGAAACCCUCCUAUUUGGUAUUCCAAGCGCAUAAAAGACAAAAUUCACCUUUACUGCGGGACAUGUCUGGAUUUUGCUGUCGUCAUCGCCCUGGUACAUCCUCCGUAAUCUACAAAAUGCCUUCCCAGAGCCACCUAAAGCAAAAGCAUUGUUUCGAGAUUUUCGGGACGUCACUGGAAAGCUUUUGCUGCAAAAUACUGUACAAUUUACCGGAGGAUAGAUUAAGAUAAUAUAGGGCCAUGAAAAGUAACAAAACGAUGCCAUGAAGGAAAAUUUCCAUGCAGUAACAUUUGGCUGCAUUGCUAAAUCGCACAGAAGGCGAUUUCCUGUUAAAUGUUAUUUAUCUAUAUUAACAUG